rnacentral:lncRNA from 1 species
AACUGAAUAGAAUUGCUUUCAAACAAGAAAUAAUGAGAUGGCCAGGGGUAGAGUAAUUCUAACUAACUUUGGUAAUUCAGUGGAUAGAUGGUAUCAUUCAGGACUCACAUCUUUUAUCUUUUCGCCCUGCCAUUUUCAGCAUUUUGACUUUGACCUGAAGUGCGUAUAUUCACAGCUACAAGUUGGCUACAGUAAACCCAAGCAUCACCUCCCCCCGCCUGGCUCUUUAUUCAUGUGCAUCUCUUUUCAAAAAUCGAAAAUCGGGAAAUUUUACAAGCUGUGUCCCUGGCAGAUCUCCCUCCCCCCCCACAUUUCAUGGAUAAUGACUGUGUCACAAAACCAUUCCUAAACCAAUCACCAGCAAGAAGUAUAGAUUAUCAUAGCUGGUUCAGGUCAAUUGCUUUUGCCAUGGUGCUCAGAAGAGCCUCCUUUGAAGACAGUGGUCAUCAGUUACCUGAACAAAAUCAGACCCUGAUUAGUGUUGGAGAAGCAGAGUAAUGACAGUAGGAUAGACAGCUCAUCAUGACUUCUUCCUCCAAGAUUUUGGUUAUUUCUGUAAUCACUCACGUCUAGGGAAGAGAAUAAUCCACCUUCUUAUAAAGGCAGUUUUCUUCUUUUCACUGACUUUAUUUAAUUACUGUUGACUUCAUUAUCUUCCCUUAAGUAUCCCUAUGAGGUCAUAUAAUUUAGAAUAUUUAUUUCAUGAAUAUCACAAAACCCAGGAUACAGAGAGGGAUAAGAAUCUGCAUAGCGGGCCAGUUAUCUCGCUCACUGCUGCUGCCUUCACCCUUGAACUUCUUCCUUCUUAAUUAAAACUGCAGGAGGACAGCAUCACUGCGAGUCAGUUCAGCUUCCCGGAUCGACCAUGAUGCUGAUUCCACAUUCAUAAUUAAUUCUCCUCAGUGUUAAGAAUGGAGACUUGGCUGAUUAAGGAUUCUCAGUGGAUUAUUGCAGAUGUCUGAAUUGCUGAAACCACGGGCAGCCAUGCAGUGUCUUUUUGAUCUACAUAAAUGCGGGAUGUGGAAGAAGAAAAAAGGCAUUUUUCUUUCCCCUCCAGAAAUCUCACUUGACAUUUUGCAAGGGACAUUUAUUAGAAUGUCAGUUUGAUAAAACUGUUUUGCAGGAGUCACCUAGCAUUUGCUACUGAGGAAUAACAAUUGUUAAAAGCCAUAAUUACUCUGGGCAGGUUUAAAGGAAAAAAAAAAAUGUUAUCAGAAGAUUUGGGCAAAAUAUCUCCCAACAAGUAGCUAUGCUUCUCCUGGCUUCCUGUUGAAUUACAGGCUCUCUGAGACACUCCUCCUGAAUCUGAACUGUGGGUUAGUAGCAAAGUUACCAACAGUUGCCAUGACCGAUGGAUACAUGGUAGUGUGUCUCAGAGACAUAGUAUGGGCUCCAGAGAUGUCUUCAGAGUAGGAGACAGAAAGCUUAGGGGUGGAUUUUAUAUCUGGAUAACGUUAUGUAGUAGUAAUAAUAAGGAAUAAUGAUUAAGAAUGACAAACACUUGUAUUGAACUCGUGAUGAACCACUGACUGUUUUAAGCACUUUACAUGGGGGAACUCAUUAUCUAAUUUUGGUCUUUUCAGUCAAACGGAGAUGAUAAUACUCCAUGUCCUAUGAGGAAACUGAGGCACAGAAGAGAGGUCAAGAAACUUGCCCAGAGUCAUCUUGGAAUUUGAACCCUAAGAGAUCCCCAACUCACUCAUAGCUAUUACAUUAUACUACCUCCUGCUAAAUCCCACCCAUUUAUGCACUGCAGUAUGGCUGUGAGGAUGCCCGUACUUCAGUUUCCUUAGCUGCUGAAGAGUUGUAGCAAAAAGGCUCAUGUUUAUUGGGAGCUUUCUGUGUGCUGGGCACUAUUAUGGGUUUGUUACUCUCUUAUUUAAUCCUCACAGAGACCCAAUUGGGCAGGUAUAAUUGUUAAGUCUUUAGAGAAUCUCUUAUCGUAGGAAACCGAGGAAGGAAGUGUUGAAUAACUUGUAAUUAGUGAGGCCAAGAUUAAAAAUCAAGAAAUGGGGCUACAGAGCCUGGAUUGGAAGGGAUUGCUGCCUAACUCACUGAAUAAUUAUAAAAUAAUAUAUGCACUUCUGAUAAAACAGGAGAAUCAACUAAAUUAAACAUGCAUAUAUUUUUAUGUGUGGCAAACAUCUCCUAUUAGCAACAUGCUUUGUUCUUUCCUUUGUUGUUCAUUUAUUGGAAGCCAUUCCUUUAAAUGAUUUCUCAUGUGCAGCAUCUUUACUGAGCACUGUUUGUAGAAAGGGAAAAAUGACCCAGUCUUUCUCUCUAAAAGCCUCACAGUUGAGAGGGAAAAAACGGUCAGGGGAUCACACAACUUACAACACAGUGGUGGCUGAGAGCAUCCACAUCUAUUAUUCCCUCGGAGGUCUUUCAGGAGAACCUCUCUGGGUCACGUUCCUCCUCUCUUUGUGGCAUGGUGAGGAGGGGGCGGCGGUGUUGCCCCCAGAUCUCUUUGGAGAAGUGAUGUAGGCAUUCAUAAGAGGACUCCUGUGGAGCCCUUGGAAGGGUUUAAGAAAAGUUGUCUCAUUACUGUUUCAAGGUUCUAUUAUCCCAGAAUGCCACCUCAAAAACUAUCAAAGGCUGAUCUUCAGAAAUCCAGUCCUGCUCUGUACGCAAAGCAGGAUGUUCCCUGAGAGGAAAACACAGUUCUUCUGCAGCAUCCACGGCUUUCAGUCUUGCAUGCCUCUCGCAACUUUUAUUUGAAGUUGAAUCCCUGUCAGGUACAAAGGGGCUGUGUUAGUUUAGUUUCUUUCUUGGUGAGUGAAGGAGGGACCCAUUGAGACUGCUUCAAGAUAGAGAGGGUUUUUAUCAGGGUGCAAAAGGACCGGGACAACAGAGUCAAGCAGUGGGGACUGUAGGCUCUGAAGCCCUAAGACCUGGGUUUGAAUCCUGGCUCCAGCCAGCUAUAUAGCCUUGAAACUUGCUCAGGUUACUUCCUUGUGUCUCCAUUUUCACACAGGUUAGAUGAGAAAAAUAUCGGUAAUGGGCUCAUGGAGAGUUUUGUGAUGAUGACCCGGACUAGUAUAUAUAACUUGCUCAGCAUGAUACCCUAAGAGCUCAAGAAGAGGUAGGUUUUAUUAUUGUCAUCAGGAAUUGAAGCUCUUGGCCUGAGUUAAUCUCUGGCUUCUCUCACCCUCAUGCCCAUUUCUGAUUUUUCCUGUGUAUUUUUCUUAGCCAUUUGACUUGUGUCUCAUCAUUUCCAUGUAGAUAGAGCCUCUCCCAGUCUCAACUCUCUCUCCUGCAUCUUUCUAUUUCCAGCUCCUCUUGCCAGUUGCACCCAGCUGUCUUUGUUCUUUAGCGCAAAUUUCUGAGAGAGUCUCCUGGCCUAAGGAAGGGCGUUUAGCUUUGGGCAUAGCAAGCAUUGUGGGUCUAGUAUCUAUGCUUGGUCCGGUUGGCUGUGUCAUGGUUUGGUGUCUUGGCCCAUUUGGGCUGCUCUAAUAAAUACUACAGAUGGAGGCUUUUUAAAUAACAACACAUUUAUUUCUCACUGUGCAUAGAUCAGGCCAUAAGCCCAACUGGGCUCUGGUAAAGAUCCUCUUCUAUAUUGCAGACUCCUAACUUCUGGCUGUCCUCCCAAGGUGGAAGACUGUAGGGAGCUUUAUGGGGUCUCUUUGAUAAAAACCCUAAUCCCAUUCAUGAGAGCUCCACCUCACAACAUGAGCAUCUCCCAAAGGCCCUACCUCCUAAUACCAUCACAGUGAGGGUUAGGAUUUUUUUUUUUUUUUCAUUUUCUUUUUAGGGCCACAGUGGAGCUUAUGGAAGUUUCUGGACUAGUGGUCGAAUUGGAGCUGCAGCUGCCGGCCUACACCACAGCCACAGCAACACAAGAUCCAAGCUGUGUCUGCCACCUACACCACAGUUCAUGGCAAUGCCAGAUCCUUAAUCCACUGAGCAAGGCCAGGGACUGAACCCAUGUCCUUAUGGACACUAGUUGGGUUCUUAACCUUCUGAGCCACAGCUGGAGCUCCUGAGGGUUGGUAUUUUAACAUGUGAAUUUGCGUGGGGAGAUAAAUAUUCAGACCCUAGCAAUUGGAGUGAUCGAGGCCUGCUUGUUCAUCAGGAGUUCUGUGGAUCAGUGCUUCUCACAAAAGGACAUUCUGAGGCAUGACCUGCCUAAUGCAAACAGAAUCAGGUGGGAAGAGUGGAGUAUGGGGCCAGGGAGGAAGUGUUUAGCAAUGCUCUGCAGUGAUUUGUUGUUCCAUCUGUAUAAGCCUCAUUUCUUCAUUGCAUGUCCUCAAUUCUGCCUUCAGGCCAGGACCCGUUCAUCUUUGGACCUCCUGAACCAAGCAUAAUACUAGACAUAUUGAGUGUUGAGACACUUAUUCUAUGUUUACCAAAUAUUUGAUAAAUGAAUGAAUAAGUAUCAGAUAUCUUUUCAGUUUUCAUCUGUGAAGAUAGUUUAGAAUUAAUAUACUACUUAUAACUAAAGUAUUCCAAUAAUUUAAUUCUAGACACUAUAUUAUGAAUUUCGUAUAUACUGUAGAGUUUAGUUUUCUCAAUGACCCCAUAAGAUAAAAUUUACUGUCCCCAUUAAAUGUAUGAGAAAAAUGGGCCCUAGAACGUAAUUUAACUAGACUCAUAUAGGUAUUAAGCAGUAAAGGGGGCAUUUAAAUCCAUGUUUGUUUUAUUUCAGAGCUUCUUCUUCACCCUACAUUACUGCAUGGUUGUGAUAAUUCAUAUUUUGAUUUUUGGCCCACUCCUCUGUCAAGAUCUCUUUGAGUAUUUAACAUUCACCUUGUUCUCUCCCUCCCUCAGUUUUUGUCAUGGGUACAUAUUCCAUUUACUAUCACAAGGCCAAAUGUAGAACCCAAGAACUCAAGUAUGGAGCCCUUCCUAAAGAUCAGUGCCAAAAUAAUUAAAUUGAUCUUCUCUGGGUAGUGCUUAGUUACCAGUCCACUUCAUGGCAACAUCAGUCUGCUCUCAGAUCUGCAUCUUGACCUAAAGAAGGUCAUGAGAGUCUCUCCGAUGAGUUCACACUUGUACACAAAUCCCAUUUCCCUACAGCCAUCUUCCAGGCCACGCUUGUCUGUAUAGGGCAUUUGAUCCUCAUUACCUUGCUUUAAGUGAAGUUCAGUAUGUCCUACCAAUUGCUGAUUUCACCAGGAGAGCAAGAAUAGGAAAGCUUUAAAAAAAAAAAAAAGUUUUUGUCGUUGGAAAUUUUGCAUCCUCCCACUACCUCUGAGUAUAGUAUUUUUUCAUUGAGAGGUUCAGCUCUGUUGGAGAAAGAGUAGAAAGAAGGGUCUAGGUGGAAAUCCAUGCCCCAUCUUUCAGGGCAUACACAUUGGGUUCCUCUCUUUCACCUUCUGAAAACUUCCAGACUUACUGGACCCAAAUGCCAGUGUUACACAGUAGCAAGUCAAGAUGAAGGAAAUAGUGUUCUGACUUUGAUUUCUGUGAUCUUUCUGAUUUACUACAGUGGUGGGAAAUGUGAGUGCCAGGAUUCUAAAACAAUAUUGUGGACCAGGUGGUAUUGGAAGGAGGCAUUUCCUUCCAUUUAAGUGUUUCUUACCUUUAGAAAGAAGAUUAUGAAUUGGGUUGACAUGUGGAGACAGAAUAAUGAUCUUAUUUUAUAGACUAUAUAGACUGAACGAUCCUAAGUUAAAUCAUUGAUGGUUUAUCAGUAGAUUGUAGCAUUUUGAAAGUCAUGAUAAUAUCACAGAAAUCUUGAGAACUUAAUACAAGCAAUAAAUCUCUCCCCAGAAAUUCCCCCCACCCACACACACACACAGAGUAAUAUACCUAAUUUCAAAGUAUUCAAGAGCCAAUGAAGCCUACUCUUGGAAACCAGGUCAGGGACCCUUAGGUCAAAAACUAUUUAAGAAAAGAUGUAAAGUUGAAUUCCUCCCUGAAGUUGGUGGGUUAAAUAAAUUAUGGACCUCUGUAAUAAAAAAUAGAUAUCAUAGAACUCUUAGUUGAUUCGAUUUGUGCCUCUGGGAAUCACUAUUUAUGUUCAAAACAGCCGAAAGUGUGUGUGUGUGUGUGUGUGUGUAUUUUCAAAAUUUUGUUGCUGGGCAAUAGAUAUGAAUGAUCGAUAUGUUUCCCCACGUUUUAAAGAAUAUAUGUGUCUCAAGGAAGCACAGAUCAGAUUUCAGAUAUGCCUGUAUAAAUCUGGUAAUUCUAGGGAAAUGUGCAUUCUUUAGCAGAGCAGCAUUGUAUUUUCAACCUCAGGUAAAACAGGGAUGAAGGUGAGUUUAAGUAGAGAUGAACAUUUAAACUAGCCAGAUAAUUUUCUCAGAGUGUAAGUAAGAGCUAUGAUGUAUGGUUCUUGUUGAGAAAAUAAACAGGAGAUAGAGGUGCUAUAACAAUGAGUAGGAAAUGGCAGGGAUGAAGCUGUAUCAGUGUAUGCAGUGCAUAUAAAGUGGGCAUCUGGGGCACUUUCUUUUAG